CCUUGGAGGCUAGUCGCUAUAACAAAGCUAGGCAACACGCACGUGCUCGAAGAAAGGAACCAACGUGCGACCAGGGCAGAGAGGUCGGCGGACAAAGGUAUGGCACGUGAUGGAUGGAUGCCGUUCGGCAUUUUCAUGCGUGUCAGCAUAUUCAAGUACUAUUCAGAAUUAUAGUAUAUAUAACUAUAGGGCCUAAAGGGCUACGCCCAGGAAGUUAGGCGCUCGUGACGUCGAAGCCACACAUGGCUGCGGUCGAAACAACCAGCACAGCACAUAGGCGACGCCGUCCGGCACGCCUGCUGCCAGUGCGAUGUAGCAGGCUUAAAAUUGACGAUUAGCACGGCCGUGCUGGGCGGCCUGUGCUGCAAAGAAGUGCAUGCAGUACGCGUAGAUGCUCGACA